GAUGAAGAACGUAGCGAAAUGCGAUACGUAAUGUGAAUUGCAGAAUUCAGUGAAUCAUCGAAUCUUUGAACGCAUAUUGCGCUCUUUGGUAUUCCGAAGAGCAUGCUUGUUUGAGUAUCAGUAAACACCUCAACCUCUUCUUGAUUUUUCAAAAGGAGGGUGGACUUGAGCUAUCCCAACAACCUUUACCGGUCGGCGGGCCGCUUGAAAUGCAGGUGCAGCUGGACUUUUAUCUGAGCUAAAAGCAUAUCUAUUUAGUCCUCGUCAAACAGGAUUAUUACUUUUGCUGCAGCUAACAUAAAGGAUAAUUGUCCUCUUUGCUGACUGAUGCAGGAUUUUACGACACUUUAUGUGUUGUUCAACUCGAUCUCAAAUCAAGUAAGACUACCCGCUGAACUUAAGCAUAUCAAUAAGCGGAGGA
rnacentral:misc_RNA from 1 species